UUCUCUCUGGUCCCUUCUCGUCCCAAUCUCCAAUCCAUGGCUUGGUGCGUCUAGUGUGCCUCCAAUCCAUCCCUCAGAACAGCCACACAUUGAGUCAAAUAAGACUGCGAAGCGAAAUUGCAUGCUACUUUUUUUUUUUUUUUUUUUUUUGUCAUUCCAGGGAGUAUCCAGUUUAGCCAGAUUAAUCUCUUUGGACUUGGAGUACCCUGCUCCCCAAGAGCACCCAAGCGAUAGGAGAGGCCAGACUCGAACCUGCGUCAC
rnacentral:lncRNA from 1 species